CAGUGGGGAAUUUUCCACAAUGGGCGAAAGCCUGACGGAGCAAUGCCGCGUGGAGGUGGAAGGCCUACGGGUCGUCAACUUCUUUUCUCGGAGAAGAAACAAUGACGGUAUCUGAGGAAUAAGCAUCGGCUAACUCUGUGCCAG
rnacentral:rRNA from 1 species